rnacentral:rRNA from 1 species
AACGAACGCUGGCGGCAUGCCUAACACAUGCAAGUCGAACGGGACCUUCGGGUCUAGUGGCGCACGGGUGCGUAACGCGUGGGAACCUGCCCUUAGGUUCGGAAUAACUCCCCGAAAGGGGUGCUAAUACCGGAUAAUGUCUUCGGACCAAAGAUUUAUCGCCUUUGGAUGGGCCCGCGUUGGAUUAGCUAGUUGGUAGGGUAAAAGCCUACCAAGGCGACGAUCCAUAGCUGGUCUGAGAGGAUGAUCAGCCACACUGGGACUGAGACACGGCCCAGACUCCUACGGGAGGCAGCAGUGGGGAAUAUUGGACAAUGGGCGAAAGCCUGAUCCAGCAAUGCCGCGUGAGUGAUGAAGGCCUUAGGGUUGUAAAGCUCUUUUACCCGGGAUGAUAAUGACAGUACCGGGAGAAUAAGCUCCGGCUAACUCCGU